GCAUGGGAAAGUCCAGAUAUUUUAUUGCGUAUUUCUUUUCCGUACUAUAAUAUAGUUCCCGUCGAGUAUAGGUUUGCAACGAAAUCUUUAACAACAGUCACUUUGAGAAAGUUCGACCAAAGUUGUAAGUGACUUUAUAUGAGGAAUUUUAGUAUACCAGAAAGUAAUGAAGAAGACUGCCAUAAUCACAUUAACAAUCGUUGUCGUCUUUUAUAUAUGUGUAAUCGAACCAUGUGAUACAAACCAGUUUCAAUGUUAUAAUGGACAAUGUAUUCCUAAUGAAAAUAGGUGCGACAAUGAUUUCAAUUGUGGAGAUCGCUCUGAUGAACUAAACUGUACAGUUGUACAACCAUGUCCUGAAGGGAGGCAUAAAUGCGAUAAUGGAGAAUGUGUUACAGACAUAAAUCUAUGCCCAACAACUAUGAUACAAUUAUCGACAUCUAUUGUAGAACCAUCAUCACAGAGCAGCCUCAUAUCUCCAACAAACACAUUUCAGAUACAGUCGUCUUAUCCAUCUACAACAUCCACAUAUGAUAUUCAACCUACAUCAUCAUAUAACAUGCCUGAUAAUUCAGUUCUAUAUACGACGACUCCAUUAGUGCGAUCUGUCAAACCUCUAACUCCUAAUAGUAAAUUUAAACCUAUAUACUUUACAUUAUUAGUUUUACUGAUUCCAAUUGGUAUUACGGUAUAUUUUAUAUGUCGAGAUAUCAGGAAAAGUCAUGAUAAAAUACAAGCACCCGACAAGUUUCAGAUGGGAAACAUGACGUAAGGAAAAUGAUUCUAUGUUUAUUUAUCAUGCUUCAAACUCUGGAAAACAACAUUUGUUUAUUAUACAUGUAUUGCCUAUCGACGUUCAAAUUUACAUCUUCUAGGCUUUCCUUUAUAUAUUUUUAGUUAUUUGCAGUCAGACUACAUUUUAGAAGUAUAUAUAUGGAAUGAAUGUUAUGAAAACUUAUCCUGAAUUCAAAUACUAGUAAGAACAAUGUACUGAAGAACAUUAUGCACAUACUAUAGUGUAAUAAUUAAUAAUAGCACAUGAACAAUUCUUAUUAGCAAUCUAGAUUAGUACUUACAUAUUCAUUAUAGUAUCACAUAAUAGCAGCAUUAAUAACAACUGUCCAAAAGCUAAACUUGAAAAUGUAUGACUAAUUCAUACAUGGAUUACAAUUUAAAUAAGUAAAUGUAGCACUGCACAAACUUUCAAGAUACACAAAAUACAUGACAUAAACUAAUCUGCUUGUUCAAGUCAUAACUCCAUGUUACAUCAUUACCUUUUUUGAUAAUUGUCUUAUAUUUGCUACUGGCUUUACUGUGUUUCAUUUUUCAUUGUACAAAUAUUCAAAUAUCCAGAAAAAAUGUUUGAAACCAAAAUUAUAUCCUACGUGAUAGUACAUUUUAAAAGAGAACAUUCAAAGGGCACUAUUGCAUAAUUACUGUUACAUUUUAACCUCUUGGACACAUAUGUGUUCACGAACAUAAAGAAGUUAUUAGGGUUCUUUGUGUGUAAAAUUCUUAAUUGUGAAACACGUUUGGACUUGUUGGUUGCUGUUUAAACCAAAGCAUACGUAUGUGCUAAAAUAUUUUGUAUUAUUUUGUAAACAGAAAAAAAAAUCCGAAAGGGAUUGAAACAGAUGGUUUAGCUCAAAUCAAAUGAAUUGAGAGUGGUAUAUUACACGACACAAUGAUGUUACAGUAUUAUCAUACUUCUGUUAGGGAAAUAAAAGAGAUGUGGAAGAAAACAAAUAGGACGAUCAAACUCACACAGCGAAAUGGCAAAAACGAAAAACGACGAAAACACAAACAACAGUACACACAUCGCAUUGAAAUCAUUUGUUCUAUUCUUAAAUUUUUACAAAGAAUUAAUGGUUUAGAAAAGGAUCAUUUGUUAAAACAAGCCAUAUUCACAAGUAUUGACACUCACAAAUGUAAUAAGUCAUCUUGGUAUUCUAAUAUUUUAUAUAUUUUAAGAUGUAUUGAUGUUUAUAUGGAAAGUUUUGACAUUGAAAAGGUUAAAAAUAUUUUGAUAUAGGAUUUACUGGAAAAAUACUAUAGAAGAUAAUGCAAAUGUUAAAAAAGGAAAAUUGCGUACUUAUUUUAAAUUUAAAAACAUCUUCAAAUGGGAAGCAUAUUUAUGUCAAGUUAAUAAAUUUCAGUAUCGAAAAAGCUUAACUCAAUUUAGAAUCAGUGCUCAUCAGUUAGCUAUUGAGAAAGGUAGAUAUAAAAAAAAAAUCGAUAAAGAUAAAAGAUUUUGUGGGCAGUGUAAAAAUAUACGAGUUUCAUUUUUUAAUGGAAUGCACUGCAUAUGAAAAGGAACGGAAUUUUAUUCUUAAUGAAUCAUGCAUUUAAUGUAAAAACUUCCCUUAUAUUUCAAAGUAUGAACAAUUUAUUUGGAUAAUGUCGUGUGAGUCUGAAAAUGUUAAUAUGUCAAUGUCAAGAUUUAUAAGUACUUGUUUUGAAAUAAGAGAAAAUUUGCAUUCCAGUAACUAACUAAAUAUACAUGUAGUAGUGAUGUAGUUUAUUUAUUUUUAUGUAUUGGAGAGGGUUGAUAUUCUAUUUUAUUUAUUUUCAAACACCAACUGGUAUGGAGUAUAGUUAUUCAAUCAUUUAUUUUUAAUGUAAUAUAUCUUAAAAAAUACUGUAUACAUAAUACUAUAUAUAUUUAUGUAUAUGCUCGAAAACGGGCCCUUCAAUUGGAUUCAAUAAAUAAUCUUAUUCUUA